UACAGAGGGUGCAAGCGUUAUUCGGAAUUAUUGGGCGUAAAGGGCGCGUAGGCGGCUCUAUAAGUCUGGUGUGAAAUCCCUGGUCUCAAGCCAGGAAGUGCAUUGGAUACUGUAGAGCUGGAGGACAGGAGAGGUGAGCGGAAUUCCCGGUGUAGAGGUGAAAUUCGUAGAUAUCGGGAGGAACAACAGUGGCGAAGGCGGCUCACUGGACUGUAUCUGACGCUGAGGCGCGAAAGCGUGGGGAGCAAACAGG
rnacentral:rRNA from 1 species